rnacentral:rRNA from 1 species
UGAGCAAUCUGCCCUUCUCAUCGGAUAAGCGUUGGAAACGACGUCUAAUGCCGAAUACGACCUCCUUUCGCAUGAUCGGAGGUGGAAAGCUCCGGCGGAGAAGGAUGAGCUCGCGGCCUAUCAGCUUAGUUGGUGUGGGUAAUGGCCCACCAAGGCGACGACGGGUAGCCGGCCUGGAGAGGGUGACCGGCCACACGUGGGACUGAGACACCGGCCCAGACCUCCGUACGGGAGCAG